CUUGGCCUGAGGGUGGACCCCUGCCUGAUCCCAGUGCCCCUGGGGGCCCCCUGCCGGCCGCCACCACCCCAUCCCCCCAAGACCUGCGGCCAGAGAGACUGCCGAGGGGGGCACUCUCGGCACCCCCGUGACACAGCUGGCUGCCGGCCCUGGGUUCGAGGGCUCCAGGUGAUUCUGCCGAGCACCGGCCAGCCGCCCUCCCUGGUUUCAGGGACAGCGGGGACCCGGGGGUCAGUAAGGAUGGCGGGACAGAGGGACAAGAAAAGGGUUUGGGGUGGCAGGGACAGGAGAUCAGGAGAGGGGCAGGGGACAGCGGGACCCAGCCGCAGCGUGGAGCACACAGUCCUGGUGACGUGGC